rnacentral:rRNA from 1 species
CCUACGGGAGGCAGCAGUAGGGAAUCUUUCACAAUGGGCGAAAGCCUGAUGGAGCAACGCCGCGUGCAGGAUGAAGGCCUUCGGGUUGUAAACUGCUUUUAUAAGCGAGAAAUAUGAUGGUAACUUAUGAAUAAGGAUCGGCUAACUACGUGCCAGCAGCCGCGGUCAUACGUAGGAUCCGAGCAUUAUCCGGAGUGACUGGGUGUAAAGAGUUGCGUAGGUGGCAUAAUAAGUAGCUAGUGAAAUCUGGUGGCUAAACCAUUCAGACUAUUAGCUAAACUGUUAAGCUCGAGACCGUUAGGGGUAACUGGAAUUUCUAGUGUAGGAGUGAAAUCCGUAGAUAUUAGAAGGAACACCAAUAGCGUAGGCAGGUUGCUGGGACGGUUCUGACACUAAGGCACGAAAGCGUAGGGAGCAAACGGGAUUAGAUACCCGAGUAGUC